GCCUUCGUGGUGUAAUGGUCAGCACCCCGAGCCGGUAUUUCAGAGGUCCGUGGUUCGAUCCCCGGCGAAGGCA
rfam:Stegodyphus mimosarum contig109556, whole genome shotgun sequence.